UACAGAGGUGGCAAGCGUUGUUCGGAAUUACUGGGCGUAAAGCGCGUGUAGGCGGCUCUUCAAGUCAGGCGUGAAAGCCCCGGGCUCAACUCGGGAACUGCGUCCGAUACUGGCAGGCUUGAAUCCGGGAGAGGGAUGUGGAAUUCCAGGUGUAGCGGUGAAAUGCGUAGAGAUCGGCAGGAACACCCAGGGGGAAACCAGUCGACUGGGCAGCACCUGACGCUGAGGUGCGAGAGCGUGGGGAGCGAACCGG
rnacentral:rRNA from 1 species